AUACGUAGGUGGCAAGCGUUGUCCGGAAUUAUUGGGCGUAAAGCGCAUGUAGGCGGUUUGGUAAGUCGGUCGUGAAAAUGCGGUGCUUAACGCCGUAUGGCGAUUGAAACUGCUGAACUUGAGUGCAGGAGAGGAAAGGGGAACUCCCAGUGUAGCGGUGAAAUGCGUAUAUAUUGGGAAGAACACCGGUGGCGAAGGCGCUUUUCAGGACUUUGUCAGACGCUCAGAUGCGAAGGCCAGGUUUGCAAGCGAGAUUUGAUACACGGGUAUUCCUGGUUGUAAAGAAUGGUUACACAGUGUGCUUGGUAGCCACUCUUCGCGCGCUUGAGUUAACGCAAUACGUACCACGGCUGGGAAGUACCGCCGCAAGGCUUAAACUCAAAGGAAUUGACUGGG
rnacentral:rRNA from 1 species